UACGUAGGUGGCAAGCGUUGUCCGGAUUUACUGGGCGUAAAGGGAGCGUAGGUGGAUAUUUAAGUGGGAUGUGAAAUACUCGGGCUUAACCUGAGUGCUGCAUUCCAAACUGGAUAUCUAGAGUGCAGGAGAGGAAAGUAGAAUUCCUAGUGUAGCGGUGAAAUGCGUAGAGAUUAGGAAGAAUACCAGUGGCGAAGGCGACUUUCUGGACUGUAACUGACACUGAGGCUCGCAAGCGUGGGGAGCAAACAGG
rnacentral:rRNA from 1 species